GCCAGGCCAAGUCAAGCCAGCCAGCCAGUCAGCCAGCCAGCCAGCCAACAACAGCAAUUACUGGCCAAGAGGUGGUGAUGGUAAAGGUCCAAGAUGAUGACGACGCAGCAACAGCAGCGGCAGCAGCAGCCAGUGCCAAACAGCGCAGGAUGACAGUCAAGGAAUAUUUUUUGGCCGCAAACGCAGUUUGAUUAGCCAAGUCAAACAGUGUGGUUUGACCCUGGCCAAGAUCGCCGCAAUGGACCCCAAUUGACAGCUCGCAUACACUUGCACUCACACACACACACACACACACACAUACACACAUGCAUCUGGCACAGUGGUGCAGUGGGGCAGCAGCAACAACAACAGCGGCCGCUUCGCAGGAUGCGUUCGUCUCGAUUAUACAGCUAACAACAACAAACAACAAACAAAAACAAAUAAAACGUGUCGCGCCGCAACAACAACAACAACAAAACGCGCUGUGCUCUAUAUAUGUGUGUGUGUGUGUGUGCGCGUGUGUGCACGUUUGUGUGUGUGUGUGUGCCUAAACCUUUUGAACUGACCAACGUGCGCCGUCAACUUUUUUCGGCCAGUGCCAAAAACGACGUGCGCCAAUGGAGCAACUGGCGUUAAGCCCAAAAAAAAAAAAGAAUGAACCAACUGCAACUGCAGCAGCAGCAGCAGCAGCAACAGCGGCAGCAGCAGUAACAACAACAGCAACUGCAGCAGUAACAUUAGCAACAACAACAAGCGCCAUUGUUUUAACUGGCCGCUAAUGAUUUGUCAGCCAUGCACACGCGUGCGAAACCUCAAAGGAUGCGCAUCAGGCGGCAGCCGCAGAGGUAGCUACGAAAAAUCACGCAUACGCCGCGUGUGACAAAAAGCAAAGCAAAAAUAAUAUAUAUAUAAAUAUUCAACAUGAAGAAAAUACAUAAACUUUAACUCAACCUUAAGUAGUGACUAGUGCUUAACUUUAUAAAAUAUAUUUCAAAUAUCGUACUACAACAAAUAUCUAAACAAAUAAAAUAAAUAUAACCAAACAAAAAUGAAUAGCAAACGUAGCGUUGAAUACUUCCAUGCCACUUAUAUAAUCGAUUACAACAAACUAUGAUAUAAUCCAACAAUUAACUAAACUCUAGUGCAAUCCAUAAACAAUUGUGCAAAUAUACACACAGUUAUUAGCAGUUAAUUCGUACUAAUAUUGGUAACCGAAAGCACUCGUAGACAAAAGUUAAGAUUUAAAGAAAUUAUCAGCGCGAGUUUUGUGCAUCGUUGCGAAGCGACUCGUUCAAAGCCUGACCAGAUCUUUGCAAAGAUUCAAUGUGGAACAGCAGCAGCAACAGGAGGACAACUGAGCUGUUACUAGACAAAUGCGAUGCGUUAAAGGAGCCUCGUUGGCCAAUUGGCAGCCACGGCCGCUGCAGCUGGUCCUAGGCCUGACCAACCAAUGGCAGCGCAGCGGCUAAAAGUUCAAGUCGGCAGCAGGCAGCGUAAUGCACUUGGCAAACGUUCAAAGCACACACACACACGCACACACAGACGCACAGCGACACACAUAUACAAGGCCACACAUACACAGGCAAAUAGACUUUGAUUGCUGCGCUCACACGCGCAUGGGAAAAACCGUUGAUAAUAAAUCACGCAUACGCCUGUUGGCACAGCAAAAACUAUUUGCAGUUGUGUGCGCCCUAGUGUGUGUGUGUCUGUGUGUGUGUGUGUGCUUCGUGACUUGCACAGGCUGUUUGCCAACUGCAAUGCGGUGCUCGUUUCAGCCCGGCUCGAGCGAGUUGGCGGCAAGACAAUUGCACGAACGAAGCCUCCUUUGCAGGCAGCGCAUUGGCGUCCCCACCCCUUUGCAGGACGCAAGACGCCAGGACGACCAAUCAGAGCGAGGCUUGUGCGCAACGCCGUUGGCCAAACAGAACCAGAACUCAGCGAUGCCAGCACCCAAGCCGAUAACAUUUUUGUAUAUACUAUAAGCGAAUUUUCUCGAUUUUAGUUCAGUUUAAGUUUUAAUUUCAAACUAUUUUAAGUCACAUGCCCAAAGCCUACGCCCACAAACAACAACUAAAGUGGGCGUACAAUACCUUACUUAUGAAUACGAUAUAUACAGAUAUACUAUUACUUAAGAGUUUGAACCAAGAUGAUUGCAAAAUGCGUAAGAAAAAGAAUAAAAAGUUGUAAAGCUUCCGAGCGGCACGCAAAAAAAAA
rnacentral:sRNA from 1 species